CUGAGGCUCGCUCAAACGAUCCUCUGGGUCUGGCUCGUGCUGAUUCCCAAAAUCAGGCAUCGGUUGGACGCUCCUCCGUAAUCCAAACGGCAUUCACGUAACCACAAUUUCCUCUGAAAAUAGCAGACCGGUUCCGCCUCUCCCCUUGCAAGAUGUAAUCCAAACCGUGGAUUUUAGUUGGUGGAUGCGUCAGAAAUCUCGCGAAGCACGAUAACACCGCAUUUCUGUUCACUUAAGCGGAUCAUUUCUGCACGGUUAGAGGAAGGCCAACGUUUCAUCUUCAAGCAAGCGAAAAUCGUGAUCGAUGCCUUCGAGGUGAAUUCAUUUAAUGGGAUUAAUUCGAAUCUGAAUGAAGAAGCCAUUGUCAUAAAGCUACCAGCUUGAGAUUCCAGAUAUUUGAAAAGAUCCAAAUGUGAAUGGCGCUCGGUCAAUUGGUAGAUCGCAAUAAUUGGAAUCGGCAUUAGGAUUCGACAGGCUAAUAGCUCGGCUGCCGAGAUACGAGCUACAAUACGGUUUAUUGGCACAAGGGCGAACAGCACCGUUCAUAUCGAGUUUCUGCAACACCGGCGACAAUAUUUGUAGUCGAGUCAGCUGCGCCUCUCGAAUAACUCCUGUCCCAUGUGUUCCGCGCGCGAACACGCGCGCCAGCUAUGCACCAUGACGAACGUGCAAUCAUUUUAAUAGAACUGAUACAUAUGAUCGAUGAUCAAGAUAUGACGAGUGUCAUGGGAAUCGAAUUUUGAUUGGAACAUUAAAUAUAUUGAUGUAUCGAAUAUAUUUUGAGAGAAAGAACGAUUAAAAUAAGAUAAUUAAGAUCCAAAGUUUGAAAAAAAAAAGCGAAGUGAGAUCAGUAUGAUAAGAGUUCAAAAUAGAUUUUUCUUAAAAAUUUAACAUUUAUUUAAAGGUUUCUUCCUCGUCAACGCAAAUACAAUUCAAUUUAUUAUAAUUCAUCUUCUCUAAUUAAAUUUUCUCUAAAAUUUAACCACUUUCAAUUUCCAUUACAUCAAGAAUUCAUUAUCUGCAAACUAUUUCACUUUGUCAUUCUCUUUGUCGACAUCUGUUCAAGAAAAUCUCAUAUCUUGGAACGUGUUUUUCGCUAACCACAGGUAGAUUAGAUAUCGGUUCGUACGAGGCUGUUGAACCGUAGCUCGCGUUCUCCACUGUCUCUACUGUAUUAUGCAAAUGCACGUAGCAACGUUGCAGCCAGGCAAGUGGUUAAUAAUACAUCUGUGAGUAAUAGGCCACGCUAGUUUCCGUUUACCUGGUUGGCCAAGAUUAAGGGCUUUCAGUCGAGGACACGCUCGAUAGAUUCGGGCUUUCUUCGAGGGGAAGUCGCCAUGCCCCCUCCUUGCCUACGUUCCCAGUUUGAUUAUGGAUCAUGAUUGAAAUCGAAUCGAGAUUGCGACUACAAAUUUACAAGUGCGCACAGGAUAAUUUGGAUAACGAGGCUCAAGUUGAAUUGGAUUGAUAUUACGUAGGAAUUUGAAGUUCUUAAGUUCGUUGUUUUGUAUGAAAUUGAUAGGAAUAGUUCAAUUUUAUUUAAAAGAAAAAAAUUAAAAAAUAAGAAAAAUUAAAUCUGCAGAGACUAGCAAGGUGUUUAUGAUUCUUAAAAGAGUUUAUUGUUCAAAGAUUUAUGGGAGAAUUUAUACCUGAAAUUUAAUGCUCCUUACUAACGAGUGAUUCUAAUAAUGUUUCCUUUUAUUACUUCCGCGCGCUAUUUUUAAGUAUGCGCUCAGAUCUUGGAUAGUAAACCACUUCCUCCGGCCCAUAUCUCUACUUCAAUAACCGUAAAUUUUGAUUGUCUUUGCGUGACAGAUACUUCACUUGACUAUUCUCUCACGUGGAAAAUCAUCCGUUUUGCAAGUUCGUCGCGUCCACGAGAUCCAAUAGUAAAAUUAUUUUUCUUAUGUUUGAAAAAAUUGACAUCAAAAUUAAAAGUUAAGAAAAUUCAACGAAAUAGAAUCCACUCUGGCUACAAUUAUUGAAUAUAAAACUCAAUAAUUUUCGAAAUUUUCUAUGUCAACAAAGAUUGACGCCAAAAGAUCCAAGAAAAUAAAAAUUUAUUUUAUACGUACAUUCAAAACAUUUAAAUUUUCUGAGAAAUAAUUUUCGAAAUUUCUUUUAUCUAGAUGGCUCGAGAGUUUAAAAAAAAUUCAGGAAAAUAUUCCAUGAGAAAGAGAAAAGUAAAUAAGAAACUGCUCGGAAUACAUCAAACAAAAUAGAGCAUCCCAGUGGCACGAUAUAAAAUUUCCAACGUGGUCAGGAUUGAUGAUCCGGCAAUAUGUCUCUCGUGAAACACGAGGCACCGUGUUCCACGAGCUACGUUUCCAGAGUAAGUGGUCGAGAUGAAAGCUGGGCAAAGGCGUCAGGUGCGAUCAACCGUUUUCAAUAAGUUAUACCCGACCGUCCACCCUCCAUCGAUCCUCGAGAUCACCGUGUCAGCAUGAGGAUCACUUCCGCACGAUUUUUGCGUGCUGGAUUUUAUGAUAUAUCUAUAGAAACCUGGCAUCAAGCACGAAGACAAACCUAAAUUUCACCAUUGCUAACUUGAACAAACGGCAACAUACGUUAAUACUCUGAGGACACAAAGCGAUAUCAAAGUCCGAAAGCCGAACAUUGCUGUACCACAAAGUAGAGUCUUCUGACUUGUCAACUACAGAUUGAGCGCUGUACAUUCCCGGUUGACUUCUAAAGGACUGGCAUACAAUCGCUGGAAGUGGAUACUGUAUUCAGCCAGACGGCUGUCAUCCAGCUGUACCCUGGCGAUUAGCUCCAAUCACAAGAAGAAUCAUUCUCCAUAAUUUUUAUCAGUGAAAAAUCAAAAUCCCUAGGAGAUUCCUAGAUAAAUCUUUCCAAACAACUUACGAUCUUUGAAUCACACAACUUUUGAAGAUUACUGUAUAUACAUAUAGAUAUGCAAAAUUUAAACCUCAAGAGUUAUACAGUUCCAUAAUUCCACCCACGCCAAGAAUCAUUUUCAAGUACCACCCUCCAUCGCCCACGCAGCAAAUUAAAAUUCCUAAAGGAGAAGUUGUACAAAUCUUUCUAAACCGGAAGCGGCAGCCACUGUCCAAACGUUCCAUCACGUUGCACUGAAACGAGUGAGGGAGGCUGUGCUAACUGUAGCGGUGCUCAAGGACUGGCGGAGAUCCGUGAAUCGUAACGGAUCGAAGGUCUUGGCCGGAAUUUAUUUUUUCAUUCGAUUUUACGUGAAGCAUGUGAACAUAGAUAGCAAGCUUUACGAUUUCUUUCUUUCUUUUUUAUUUCUCUUAUUAUUGUGAUUUUUAUUUAUAAUAUUAUUGAAGAUGAUUUUUUUCCUUUCAACGACACGAUUAAUUCUUUAGUCACAAUUGAUAAUUAAUUACUGGACUAUAAAUAAAUUAAUCACCAGUAACAAAAUCAUUACUAAUAUUAUAAUGGUUAAAUUAUAACUCACUUACUAUUUUCCAUAUACUAUAUCUUCUAUAAGGAUAACAAUGGAUGCAAAAUAUUUAAAAAUUUGCAACUCUA